rnacentral:rRNA from 1 species
UACAUGGGGUGCAAGCGUUAAUCGGAAUUACUGGGCGUAAAGCGUGCGCAGGCGGUGAUGUAAGACAGAUGUGAAAUCCCCGGGCUCAACCUGGGAACUGCAUUUGUGACUGCAUCGCUGGAGUGCGGCAGAGGGGGAUGGAAUUCCGCGUGUAGCAGUGAAAUGCGUAGAUAUGCGGAGGAACACCGAUGGCGAAGGCAAUCCCCUGGACCUGUACUGACGCUCAUGCACGAAAGCGUGGGGAGCAAACAGG